AAUAUUGAGACAUAAAAAGACAACUGUUACGUAGAGUAGCUGUUGACAUUAUAGUUGCGCAGGAACUUUGUUGACUCUAGAGAACCUCGGGCAAAUCGUACAUCCCUGUGGCGGCAACUUUGCAUGUGGAUGUCAUCCAUAUCAACUUUCGAUGGUGACCACGGGUAACAGGGAAUCAGGGUUCCAUUCCAUACAGGGACCCUGAGAAAUGGCUACCACAUGCAAAGAAGGCAGCAGGUGUGCAAAUGACUCACUCCUGACGCGGGAAGGUAGUGA